CACGUAGGGGGCAAGCGUUGUCCGGAUUUAUUGGGCGUAAAGAGCUCGUAGGCGGCUUAGUAAGUCGGGUGUGAAACCUCCAGGCUCAACUUGGAGACGCCACCCGAUACUGCUGUGGCUAGAGUCCGGUAGGGGAGCGUGGAAUUCCUGGUGUAGCGGUGAAAUGCGCAGAUAUCAGGAGGAACACCAGCGGCGAAGGCGGCGCUCUGGGCCGGUACUGACGCUGAGGAGCGAAAGCGUGGGGAGCAAACAGG
rnacentral:rRNA from 1 species